rnacentral:tRNA from 1 species
GGGCCUGUAGCUCAGCUGGGAGAGCGUUCGGUUCGCAUCCGAAAGGUCGACGGUUCGAUCCCGUUCAGGUCCACCA